CUGGCUCAGGAUGAACGCUAGCGGCAGGCUUAACACAUGCAAGUCGAGGGGCAUCGGGAGUAGCAAUACUUGCCGGCGACCGGCGCAAGGGUGCGUAACGCGUGAGCAACAUGCCCGUAUCAGGGGGAUAAUCCAUGGAAACGUGGUCUAAUACCCCAUAGUAAUUAUGUAAGGCAUCUUAUAUAAUUUAAAGCUUUGGUGGAUACGGAUUGGCUCGCGUGACAUUAGCUGGAUGGUAAGGUAACGGCUUACCAUGGCUACGAUGUCUAGGGGUUCUGAGAGGAAGGUCCCCCCACACUGGAACUGAGACACGGUCCAGACUCCUACGGGAGGCAGCAGUGAGGAAUAUUGGACAAUGGAUGGAAAUCUGAUCCAGCCAUGCCGCGUGCAGGAAAGACGGCCCUAUGGGUUGUAAACUGCUUUUGUAUGGGAGCAAUAAGGGCUACGUGUAGUCCGAUGAGAGUACCAUACGAAUAAGCACCGGCUAACUCCGUGCCAGCAGCUGC
rnacentral:rRNA from 1 species